AGUCGAAGACAGAGUGAUUUUACAGUCACUUAAUGCUGCAGGUCCUGCUGCUUUAAGCAUUAACAAAGAACGGGAGAUAGACACACAGAGAGAGAAAGCUGUGUUAAACACAGACCUAAAAUCUACAGAUGCUUCUCCAUCUAUUCCACCACAUAUAAAAAUGGAGCAGUCACCUAACACCUCGGGUAGCUAUGAAGAAUCUUCUGAAAAGAGAAAUGCCCUAAAGAAAGCAAAAGGUAUGGAGGAAAAAGAGUGUGAACAACAGGUCUUGUCUGGAACACCUUCACAAUAUACCCAGUCAUUUGAGUUUCUGCAAAAGAAACAGCAAGAACCACGUGUCUCAGGAAACAUCCAGAACUCUGCUUAUGCCUAUACACCUCCUUACCCCCGAAUCCUAAACCAUCAAGCUAAUGCGAAAGCAGCAGGUGUAGAAAGCACUGUGCCUGCUGAACGGGUAAAAUCGAAGGCAAGGAAACCAUUUGUUUCCCUGAUGUAUAACACAGCAGGGCAUGGAACCCAAAGCCACGAAAAGGAAACAAGGUUUAACACCAAGAAGCAGAAGCCAGGGUUCCAGCAAGAUAAAACUGAGGUAGAAUUCUCUCUGAAAACUAUUUGUGACCCUGGGUCUAUUCCACCUCAAAUUCAAGAGUUGAUGGAAGCGGAAAGGGAGAAAGGCAAGCCACCAAGGCCGAAGAAAUUGCUGAACACAAGACAAAUAGCAUUUUCACAGUCCCUUGCUAAGAGUGCCAAAUCCAGAAAUAUGAAAACCCAGAGACAAUGUAUCAGAGAGCAAAAAGAAAAUUGCCAAGUUGCUUCACUGGACCUCUUCCCACAAUGUAGACAUCAAUUCAUGAUGAGACAGCAUCUGAAGAAGAGCCCCACCCAUGUCAAAUACACAGUAAAUUUGAAAAGAGAAGCACAUCCUGAUCAACCUUCACCAAAGAGAGAAAGCUGCUUCACUACGUUUGACAUCUCAAGACUUAGAUUACACACAAAACGCCAACGCCUCAUCGCCCUGGGAGUAAAGGAGGGAGACAGAGACAAGGCCCAAUCUCCAGUGUCAACUCCACAGAGGACGGAAAUAUCUGAGAAAACAGAUAUUUCUUUAAGUUCAAAAGGACAGAAUAUGUGUCUUCCAGAGUCAGAUGCUUCUCAAGAGAAGACUUGCAAGGAACAGGAUCUGCUGAAAGAAGGAAGUAAUUCAAGGACACUGGUGGAGCCUACUUUGUACUCCAUUACGGAAACCCCUCAUUUGGAAAAUACCAUUCCAAAUCAACUGGGAAGAGAUGGCUUAAGAGAAACUGAUACCUUACAAGGUUCAAAAGGACAGACGUUUCUCUGUGCAAAUGCAGAAGCCCGGCAAUAUACACCUGCGGUGGAGAUUGGAGACGUGAAACCAGAUCCCAUUCCGGAACGUCUCCUGGAUUCAACAUCUUUCCCCAGUGGGGAACUUCAUGUGAGAGAGGCAGGAAAUGCAACAUGGAAGGAAAGUGUUAGCAUCCCUGUUGUUUCAGGUGUCAAUCUAUGGGAAACCGAGAUGCCAAAGUUAACGAACCUUCUAUUAACAUCAAAUGAACAGAAAAUAAACUGUUCUGAAAAAGGGAGGACAGAGCAGCGAAACAGUUCUAACCAGAAGAAAGGAAAUCUUCUGGAAUUCAUUUCCUCUUGUAUAUUGUAUCAACUCCAUCUUGAAAGGCAAAAGAAAGAAAUCUCAGCCAAAGGAAUGAGUUCAGCAGUUUUGAGUCCAGUGGUCCAGAAAGCAUCAAACACAGCAGAUAUUCCAGUGGAUCAACCUCCGUGCUCAGGAAGAAGAAAAGAACAUCAACAGGAAGGUACAUGCAAGACUCUCCCAACAUCUCUUUCUCAUUCUAUGAUGAAUAUAUUUCAGAUUAAAUUACCAGGAAUAAUGAAAGCAGCAAAGGAAGUAGAUAGUCCAAGGCACCACAAUUCAAAUACAGAAGGAAUUGGCUUACCUGUUGCAAGAACAGAAGAGCAACCAGAAUGUGUACAAUGUAUUUGGCCAAAUCUUGCUUCUGAUCCUUCAAGAGAUAUAUUAUUUCAAAGUAAGAUGCCAUAUGAAAAGACAGUAUCGGAAGAAGUAGUUAGCACUGUGGAGUAUACUCCAAGUACAGAAGGAUUUGGUUCACAUAUUACAGGAAAAGGAGACCAGCAAGAGAAAUGGAUGUCUGAGACCCUUCAAAAGUCCACAUCUCACUCCCAAGCAGGUCUCCACCAAACUAAUAUCUCAGUGCAAGAAGUAAAGUUUGAUGACACAAGUAAGAUGCAUUCUGAAUAUUCAACUCCACAGGCUAAGGAAGCAUUAAAAGGAAUGGAUGUUAUUUUUGGAUAUACACAAAAAAGUGAAAAAGGACAAAACUUACCCAGUGUGGAACAAAAGCAGCAGCACCUACUGAUUCCCUCUGAGAAAUUUCCCUCCCUGAGAAUUCCCUCUGAGCAUAUAUCUUACCCUCAAAACAAUCCCUGGCUCCUGCCACAUUUAACGCCUCAGACGAAGGAAGCAUUAUCAGAAGUAGGUAAUGUGUCGAGCAGGACAAAAGGAUUAGACUUGAUUUCUAAAGAACAACUAAAUACUCAACGUGAGUGUGGCCUGGAAUGGACUGUACCCUCAGCUCCUCCAACGCAAAUGACG
ensembl:lncRNA